UCGGUCCUCGGUAGUGACCUCCGGGGCGGCGUCGGCGACGAGCCGACCGUCCCGUGGGCCUCGAUCGAAGACCGU
rnacentral:ncRNA from 1 species